rnacentral:rRNA from 1 species
UUAAGUGACUAAGCGUACACGGUGGAUGCCUUGGCAGUCAGAGGCGAUGAAAGACGUAGUAACUUGCGAUAAGCCCAGAUUAGGUAGUAACAACCAUUUGAGUCUGGGAUUUCUGAAUGGGGAAACCCACGUGCAUAAGCACGUAUCCUUACCUGAAUACAUAGGGUAAGGAGGCGAACCGGGGGAACUGAAACAUCUAAGUACCCCGAGGAAAAGAAAUCAACCGAGAUUCCGAAAGUAGCGGCGAGCGAAAUUGGACUAGCCCUUAAGCUUUACACGCGUUAGACGAACGGUCUGGAAAGUCCGACGAUACAGGGUGAUAGUCCCGUAGUUGACGACGUGUGUUCAGUGAAAUCGAGUAGGGCGGGACACGUGAUAUCCUGUCUGAAUAUGGGGGGACCAUCCUCCAAGGCUAAAUACUACUGACUGACCGAUAGUGAACCAGUACCGUGAGGGAAAGGCGAAAAGAACCCCUGUGAGGGGAGUGAAAUAGAACCUGAAACCGUGUACGUACAAGCAGUAGGAGCACCUUCGUGGUGUGACUGCGUACCUUUUGUAUAAUGGGUCAGCGACUUAUAUUCAGUGGCAAGGUUAACCAUCUAGGGGAGCCGUAGGGAAACCGAGUCUUAACUGGGCGUUCAGUCUCUGGAUAUAGACCCGAAACCAGGUGAUCUAGCCAUGGGCAGGUUGAAGGUUGAGUAACAUCAACUGGAGGACCGAACCGACUAAUGUUGAAAAAUUAGCGGAUGACUUGUGGCUAGGGGUGAAAGGCCAAUCAAACCUGGAGAUAGCUGGUUCUCCCCGAAAGCUAUUUAGGUAGCGCCUCGGACGAAUACUACUGGGGGUAGAGCACUGUUAAGGCUAGGGGGUCAUCCCGACUUACCAACCCUUUGCAAACUCCGAAUACCAGUAAGUACUAUCCGGGAGACACACGGCGGGUGCUAACGUCCGUCGUGGAGAGGGAAACAACCCAGACCGCCAGCUAAGGUCCCAAAUUACUACUAAGUGGGAAACGAUGUGGGAAGGCUCAGACAGCCAGGAUGUUGGCUUAGAAGCAGCCAUCAUUUAAAGAAAGCGUAAUAGCUCACUGGUCGAGUCGGCCUGCGCGGAAGAUGUAACGGGGCUAAGUAGUAAACCGAAGCUGCGGCAAUAUACUUUUGUAUAUUGGGUAGGGGAGCGUUCUGUAAGCGGUUGAAGGUGUGUGGUAACGCAUGCUGGACGUAUCAGAAGUGCGAAUGCUGACAUGAGUAACGAUAAAGGGGGUGAAAAACCUCCUCGCCGGAAGACCAAGGGUUCCUGUCCAACGUUAAUCGGGGCAGGGUAAGUCGACCCCUAAGGCGAGGCCGAAAGGCGUAGUCGAUGGGAAACGGGUUAAUAUUCCCGUACUUCUUACAAUUGCGAUGGGGGGACGGAGAAGGCUAGGUGGGCCUGGCGACGGUUGUCCAGGUUCAAGUGCGUAGGCUUAAGAGUUAGGUAAAUCCGGCUCUUUCUAAGGCUGAGACACGACGUCGAGCACCUACGGGUGUGAAGUCAUUGAUGCCAUGCUUCCAGGAAAAGCCUCUAAGCUUCAGAUUGUAAGGAAUCGUACCCCAAACCGACACAGGUGGUCGGGUAGAGAAUACCAAGGCGCUUGAGAGAACUCGGGUGAAGGAACUAGGCAAAAUGGUACCGUAACUUCGGGAGAAGGUACGCUCUCGACGGUGAAGUCCCUCGCGGAUGGAGCUAUUGAGAGUCGCAGAUACCAGGUGGCUGCAACUGUUUAUUAAAAACACAGCACUGUGCAAAAUCGUAAGAUGACGUAUACGGUGUGACGCCUGCCCGGUGCCGGAAGGUUAAUUGAUGGGGUUAGACUUCGGUCGAAGCUCUUGAUCGAAGCCCCGGUAAACGGCGGCCGUAACUAUAACGGUCCUAAGGUAGCGAAAUUCCUUGUCGGGUAAGUUCCGACCUGCACGAAUGGCGUAAUGAUGGCCACGCUGUCUCCACCCGAGACUCAGUGAAAUUGAAAUCGCUGUGAAGAUGCAGUGUACCCGCGGCUAGACGGAAAGACCCCGUGAACCUUUACUACAGCUUGGCACUGAACAUUGACCCUACAUGUGUAGGAUAGGUGGGAGGCUUUGAAGCACGUACGCCAGUAUGUGUGGAGCCGUCCUUGAAAUACCACCCUUGUAGUGUUGAUGUUCUAACGUCGACCCCUAAUCGGGGUUGCGGACAGUGCCUGGUGGGUAGUUUGACUGGGGCGGUCUCCUCCCAAAGAGUAACGGAGGAGCACGAAGGUGGGCUAAUCACGGUUGGACAUCGUGAGGUUAGUGCAAUGGCAUAAGCCCGCUUGACUGCGAGAAUGACAAUUCGAGCAGGUGCGAAAGCAGGUCAUAGUGAUCCGGUGGUUCUGAAUGGAAGGGCCAUCGCUCAACGGAUAAAAGGUACUCCGGGGAUAACAGGCUGAUACCGCCCAAGAGUUCAUAUCGACGGCGGUGUUUGGCACCUCGAUGUCGGCUCAUCACAUCCUGGGGCUGAAGUCGGUCCCAAGGGUAUGGCUGUUCGCCAUUUAAAGUGGUACGCGAGCUGGGUUUAGAACGUCGUGAGACAGUUCGGUCCCUAUCUGCCGUGGGCGUUGGAAGAUUGAAGGGGGCUGCUCCUAGUACGAGAGGACCGGAGUGGACGAACCUCUGGUGUUCGGGUUGUGUCGCCAGACGCAUUGCCCGGUAGCUAAGUUCGGAAUCGAUAACCGCUGAAAGCAUCUAAGCGGGAAGCGAGCCCUGAGAUGAGUCUUCCCUGAUACUUUAAGUAUCCUAAAGGGUUGUCGGAGACUACGACGUUGAUAGGUCAGGUGUGUAAGUGCUGUGAGGCAUUGAGCUAACUGAUACUAAUUGCCCGUGAGGCUUAACCAU